GGUUCCUCGCGCUGCUCGCAUUCAAGAUAUUUUCUGCUGAGCAGGUAUAGAAAAUACAACAUUUACUACUCUUUCUGCCUUCUUUGCAAGAUAUUCAAGAUGCUAAAGUCAUUUUAGUUGCAAGUUGUUGUGUUAAUAUGUGAUUUUAACUUUUAAGGUAGACACACUGAUGCAUCUAUCACAUAUAUGCUUUUCUGACACUAGGAAUUUACUCAUUCUUUAUACCUUCUGAGCUUCACUGGCAUCUGCACAAUCAUUUCCCUGUCUUUUUUCUGACUCUAACAGGUAGAUGUUGCUGUUCUCGAGGUUGGCCUAGGAGGGAAGUUUGAUGCAACUAAUGUGGUAUGUGAUGUUCUAUUUCAGUAAUGCAUAACUAAAGUUUGUGUAUAGAGGUCAUCUUGAGUAGUCAAAACCCAGAGUAAACUCGAACUAUACCAUUUUGGUCCUGAAAAGAUUUUCUUAGAAUUGGUAAGGGCAGGCCUGAUGUAGUGGUGCGAGCUGUCUCAUUGAGUCACUAGGUCACGGGUUCGAAGCAGCUUCUCCACACUUGCGGGGAAAUACUUGCCUCCGAUUAUCACGCCUCCGAUUAUCACUUCUCCAGACCCCACUCAUGUGGGAGCUUCAGACACUGGGCCUCCUUUUUUCUUCUUUUCUUAUAAUCCAAGGUGUGACUUUGUGAUAUUGUUUGGGGUUCUCCCCCCCUUUAUUAUUCUUAAUAUAAGAUAUGCAAUUCACGUGCGUGUUCGAUAAAAAAAUAUUGCAUGUUAUUUGUGUGAGCAUCCUUGUAUUGGAUUACAUGCAGAAGGAUGGACUAGAUUAAUGUGUAUGCUUGCUUGAUUCAGUGCCAACUUGACUUUCAAAAUGAUUCUGUGUUUAAAUUUACCUUGUGUCUCUUCUUGGUUUUCUGACAGCAUUUAUAUUACCACAGUUGUCUUGAACUAUCAAAAAUCAAAGAUCUUGACUGGUCUCUAAAUUUGGGUGCCUGGUUGCCUGCAGGUUAAAGCACCUGUAGUUUGUGGCAUAUCUUCCCUUGGAUAUGAUCAUAUGGAAAUUCUUGGUUAGUCCUGCAACUAACAGUUGAAGUACCUCUAUUAUUAGGUCCAUGCUCUCAGGGGGUGUUUGGAUGGUGGCUGCCAGGGUUCCAAGCAAACACGCCCAGUCUCAUGUUUCUUUAUUUAUCUAUUUUUGAAUUGUCCAAAAUGCAGGUGACCAAAUCCUGUUCUUGGUGAUAAACUUGGUGUCGAUAAACGGGUUAAUUCUGUUGGCAAAAUUAGGAUGACACAGGUGACAUGAAGAUGCCAAGUCGGUGCAUCCAUACUAAUUGCGACUUUGGUCUGUUUGGACCUCUGGUAAACGACGUAGUAGGUUUGGAGACCUGGAACUACAAAUCAAUAGUAUUGGGACUUAAGUGACAACCUGAACAAGUUUAGGAACAACUUGCUAGAAAAUUUUUAUGCUUUCUACCAAUCUUACAACGAUAAUUUGAAAGUUGAUAUUUAUGGUACUUAUUUGGUCCAGGAACUAGAUUUUUUGUACAUUCUUUCGGAUCUGGAUUAAACAACGCUCUCUUUGUAUAUGAACAAUGCUCUAUAAAUAUACGUUUGAUAAUUUUAUAUGAUAUUUAAUAAAUAGUAGCUACUGUGACUGUUUCAUUUUGUUUUUCUUAGGUUGUUAGUUCUCAUGAAUGUCAUGUUGUCUCGAAAUAAAGAGCUUCUGUCCGCACCUAAUCGCCUAAAAUGGAAAUGUUUGACUCAUUGUUUAAUUCGGGGGGAAGCUGAAGGUGGUCUGAUCCGGUAAGAGAUCUUAAUCUGCAUUACACUUGUUGGAUUUUGAUGUCGCUUCUGGGAGUGUUUGAUUGAAUUCUACACCAGUUCUAGGAAGAGAAAGCCUGACCAAGUCAUCAUCUCCAGGUUUGUUAUUGUUUGGAUGCAAAAAUCGUCGUUAGUUAACUUUUUUGUGUUGAAGUAACUGUUUGGUUGAGAAAAUUAGUUGCCUAUCUUCUAUUUUCUCUGUUUUGUUAUAGCAGCAAGCUGAUUUGUGUCUAAUUUAUAGGGACGAUGUUAGCGAAAGUCAAUUUAAUCAGGUGCUGAACAUUGAGUUGCAACAAAUCAUCGAUGGAGACUGUCACCGCAGCCAGAAAACCACGGUCUCAAUUUGAGGAGCCUUUCCAUCUAUGUUUGUUAGAAGGCAUAUAAUGCCUAUUUAUCUCUUGUAUUCGAACAUUUGGCAAUUAAGAAAUAGAAGAUUACUUCCCCAAUAUCCCUUAUUCCUAAUCUCACCUUUCACGGCUUCUGGUGAACAAUCACUUGCUAUUACCGACUGACAUGUCCACUCCUCAUAUGUGAGAUAUUGGGGUUGAUAUAUAUGUUGUUCGUUUCCAUGUAAUUAUUGUGUACUAACAUUUAUUGAAUAAUUUUUACGCCGUAACAACGUACGGG
rnacentral:lncRNA from 7 species